ensembl:lncRNA
CCAGGCCGACGGCUGUUUGAUGGACGGGCGUUCUGGACUUCUCCAGAACCUCCAGAUGGCCAGUCCGCCCCUGAUCACAGGACUGAUCUGAGCCACACACUUCUCACCAAUCAGCCCUCAUGCUUUCUGCCAGCUGUGCUUUCAUUGCUACACAUGACCCAGCUUUUGGCCAUCAAUGCCAGCCUGAGGCAACAUCAGGCCAAGACCAUACCAAGGUGUUUCAUUAUUUACAUGUGUACCAGUGUGAACAAGAGCUGCAGUUCACUUAACGGCCAGCGGUCUCGCUAAAGGCUUUCUGAAUUCUACAUGUUCAAAUAGACAAAAUUGAUUGAUUUUUGAGUAAUUUUCUCUUGAAUCAGACAUUCGUCGUGGAGCUGUUUAUUUGGUGGUUGAGGGUGAGGGAUAAAAUGGCUAGCUGCUAGUUUUGGUUAUUGAGUUUAUUUAAAAAAUAAAUUUGACUAAUUAACCAAGUUGUUGGUGGCCAUUAGGUGUUGAAGAAAAGUGUGUACAGUGUGGUCAGAGCAAACUUGACUUCCUCUGAUUGAUGUGGGAUAAGUUUUUUUCUUCUUGUCUUUGCUUCAGAGCUGCAGCAUACUUCAUUUUCAGUGUUGUGUGGAGGGACAAAAGGCUUCAUUAUUUUUAGCUGUUUUAUUCACUGCAACAACAUGAAGAUCCUUCAGCUUCAGCUCUAUGUAUUAAUCUGUUAUCAGUAUGCAGUGGCAGAUCUAUUAACUGAUCUGGGAUCAAAUGUGAUCAUAAACUGUGAUCUUGAUGAAAAUGAGGUUUAUUGGAUUUUACUGAAAACAGCAGAUCCUCCAACAGUGAUUCUACGAUCUUUGUCAACCACAACAUCACCUUUUUACCCUAAUAAAACAUUCAGAAAGAAAUAUUCAGUGCAGUUUAAACAUCGUCUGGUUAUUAAUAAUGUGACUGCUGAUGAAUUAGGAGUUUAUUACUGUAUGAACACAGAAACACCUCCAAAACUCAGCAACAGCACCAGAAUAUACUUCAGCGGUGAGUUCAUUUACGCCUUAAUAAUUGUGAUCAUUUACUUUUCAUUAUUUGUUAUUUAUUACUUUAUACACACCAUCAUAGUUCUCCCUCGUUCCAGAGAUGAAUGUGCUCCAGUAAAAGACUGACAGUAACAGACUGAACACUUUCUUUACAGAAUCAGCUCAACUAACUGAGUGUCACAAUCAUACAGUUUAUGAGUUUAUUGAUCAGAAUCAAACACAAUAUCACAUUAUCAUCAUCAUAUCUGCUCUGAUGAACGGACUUCUGCUCAUUCUGCUGAUCGGUGAGUUAUUAUUCUUAUUGUUCUAAAAAUUAUCAAAUUAAAUACACAUUAGGGUAAAAAAAUAUUAAUAUAAUGCUGUUCUCUGUAGGUGAAGCUUUUAUUUGGUUGUUUAUUUAUUUAAUCAUUUAUUUAUUUUGUCUCCAUACUGUAUACAGUUGAGGUCAAAAGUUUACAUCCCCCUUUCAGAAUCUGCAAAAUGUUAAAUAUUUUACCAAAAUAAGAGGGAUCAUACAAAAUGCAUGUUAUUGUUAAUUUCGUACUGACCUGAAUAAGAUAUUUCACAUAAAAGAUGUUUACAUAAAGUCCACAAGAG